CGGAGGAAAAGAAACCAACAGGGAUUGCCUCAGUAACGGCGAGUGAAGCGGCAAAAGCUCAAAUUUUAAAGCUGGCACCUCCGGUGUCCGCGUUGUAAUUUUGUGAGGCAUCUCCGGGUAGGGCGCCGGCCUAAGUUCCUUGGAACAGGACGUCAUAGAGGGUGAGAAUCCCGUGCUUGGCUGGCUGUCCCCGUCCAUGUGAGGUGUCUUCGACGAGUCGAGUUGUUUGGGAAUGCAGCUCAAAAUGGGUGGUAAAUUUCAUCUAAAGCUAAAUAUUGGUGGGAGACCGAUAGCGCACAAGUAGAGUGAUCGAAAGAUGAAAAGCACUUUGAAAAUAGAGUUAAAAAGUACGUGAAAUUGUUGAAAGGGAAGCGCUUGAGACCAGACUUCGGUGGGGAGUGAUCAGCCGUCCUUCUGGGCGGUGCACUUGCUCCCCUCCGGGCCAGCAUCGGUUGGGACGGCGGGAUAAAGGUCCCGGGAAUGUGGCUCCUCUCGGGGAGUGUUAUAGCCCGGGUGAAUGCCGCCAGCCCCGACCGAGGACCGCGCCUUCGGGCUAGGAUGCUUGGCAUAAUGGUCUUCAGCGACCCGUC
rnacentral:rRNA from 1 species